AUUGAACGCUGGCGGCAGGCCUAACACAUGCAAGUCGAACGAGUGGCGGACGGGUGCGUAAUGUCUGGGAAACUGCCUGAUGGAGGGGGAUAACUACUGGAAACGGUAGCUAAUACCGCAUACCAUCAGAUGUGCCCAGAUGGGAUUAGCUAGUAGGUGGGGUAACGGCUCACCUAGUCGACGAUCCCUAGCUGGUCUGAGAGGAUGACAAGCCACACGGGAAAUGCGACAUGGUCAAGACUACUAGGGGAGGCAGCAGUGGGGAAGAUUGCAAAAUGGGCGCAAGCCUGAUGCAGCCAUGCCGCGUGUAGGAAGAAGGCCUGCGGGUUGUAAAGUACUGUCAGCGGGGAGGCGUUACCCGCAGAAGAAGCACCGGCUAACUCCGUGCCAGCAGCGGCGGUAAUUC
rnacentral:rRNA from 1 species